CCUACGGGGGGCAGCAGUGAGGAAUAUUGGUCAAUGGGCGCGAGCCUGAACCCGCCAAAUAGCGUGAAGGAUGACUUCCCUACGGGUUGUAAACUUCUUUUGUAAAGGAAUAAAGUGCGGCACGUGUGCCUUUUUGUAUGUCCUUUAUGAAUCAGGAUCUGCUAACUCGGUGCCAGCAGCCGCGGUAAUACGGAGGAUCCGGGCGUUAUCCGGAUUUAUUGGGUGUAAAGGGAGCGUAGAUGGGUUGUUAAGUCAGUUGUGAAAGUUUGCGGCUCAACCGUAAAAUUGCAAUUGAUACUGGCAGUCUUGAGUACAGUUGAGGUAGGCGGAAUUCGUGGUGUAGCGGUGAAAUGCUUAGAUAUCACGAAGAACUCCGAUUGCGAAGGCAGCUUACUAAACUGCCACUGACAUUGAUGCUCGAAAGCAUGGGUAUCAAACAGGAUUAGAUACCCCAGUAGUC
rnacentral:rRNA from 1 species